rnacentral:rRNA from 1 species
AUCUGGGCGGCGGAAUUCAGGAUGGUUGGCGGGUCUCGCGCUCGUCCAGCCGUUUGAUAUUUCCGUCGCCGUGUCAGACGUCGCGACCUGUUCGUUGCCGGUCCUUGCUCGGAGGAAUCGCGAUCGAGUUCGUUGCGGGUGCGUUUCGGCGUGUCCCGCGGUGAAGACGCGACUCUCUGGCUGGCGACGGACAGUAAGCAACGGUGUCCGGCGCCGUGUCUCGCACUCGGCGUCGGUGCCGGUCGGCGACGAUUUCUUCGGGCCUCUUUCCGACCCGUCUUGAAACACGGACCAAGGAGUCUAACAUGCGCGCGAGUCGCGGGGUUUCGAGCGUACCACGGUGCGCUCGUUACUUCCGAAACCCGUACGUUGAAGGCGUAAUGAAAGUGAACAGGGAAGAUGGCGUUCCGAGUCCACGUACCGUGAUCGUGUAUCGCGGCCGGACGUCCGCACUCCCGGGGCGUCUCAAUGGUUCGACGCGGAUGCGGACGGUCGUCUUUCGGGGCGGCCGUCGGUCUGCGCCGGUCCGA